AUCGAACGCUGGCGGCAUGCCUUACACAUGCAAGUCGAACGGCAGCAUGGAGAGCUUGCUCUCUGAUGGCGAGUGGCGAACGGGUGAGUAAUGCAUCGGAACGUACCGUGUAAUGGGGGAUAACGUAGCGAAAGUUACGCUAAUACCGCAUACGACCUGAGGGUGAAAGCAGGGGAUCGCAAGACCUCGCGUUAUACGAGCGGCCGAUGUCAGAUUAGCUAGUUGGUGAGGUAAAGGCUCACCAAGGCGACGAUCUGUAGCGGGUCUGAGAGGAUGAUCCGCCACACUGGGACUGAGACACGGCCCAGACUCCUACGGGAGGCAGCAGUGGGGAAUUUUGGACAAUGGGGGCAACCCUGAUUCAGCCAUGCCGCGUGAGUGAAGAAGGCCUUCGGGUUGUAAAGCUCUUUCGGCCGGGAAGAAAUCGCACAGGCUAAUACUCUGUGUGGAUGACGGUACCGGCAUAAGAAGCACCGGCUAACUACGUGCCAGCCGCCGCGGUAA
rnacentral:rRNA from 1 species